GAUGAACGCUGGCGGCGUGCUUAACACAUGCAAGUCGAACGGAAAGGCUCCUGCUUGCAGGGGUACUCGAGUGGCGAACGGGUGAGUAACACGUGGGUGAUCUGCCCUGCACUUCGGGAUAAGCCUGGGAAACUGGGUCUAAUACCGGAUAGGACCACAUUUUGGAUGGUGUGGUGGAAAGUUUUUCGGUGUGGGAUGAGCUCGCGGCCUAUCAGCUUGUUGGUGGGGUAAUGGCCUACCAAGGCGUCGACGGGUAGCCGGCCUGAGAGGGUGUACGGCCACAUUGGGACGGAGAUACGGCCCAGACUCCUACGGGAGGCAGCAGUGGGGAAUAUUGCACAAUGGGCGCGAGCCUGAUGCAGCGACGCCGGGUGGGGGAUGACGGCCUUCGGGUUGUAAACUCCUUUCGCUAGGGACGAAGCGCAAGUGACGGUACCUGGAGAAGAAGCACCGGCUAACUACGU
rnacentral:rRNA from 1 species